rnacentral:rRNA from 1 species
UACAGAGGGGGCAAGCGUUGUUCGGAAUUACUGGGCGUAAAGGGCGCGUAGGCGGCCCGCUAAGUCGAACGUGAAAUCCCCAGGCUUAACCUGGGAACUGCGUCCGAUACUGGCAGGCUUGGAUCCGGGAGAGGGAUGUGGAAUUCCAGAUGUAGCGGUGAAAUGCGUAGAUAUCUGGAGGAACACCGGUGGCGAAGGCGGCAUCCUGGACCGGCAUUGACGCUGAGGCGCGAAAGCUAGGGGAGCAAACGGG